CAGCAGCCGCGGUAAUACGGAGGGUGCAAGCGUUAAUCGGAAUUACUGGGCGUAAAGCGCACGCAGGCGGUUUGUUAAGUCAGAUGUGAAAUCCCCGGGCUCAACCUGGGAACUGCAUCUGAUACUGGCAAGCUUGAGUCUCGUAGAGGGGGGUAGAAUUCCAGGUGUAGCGGUGAAAUGCGUAGAGAUCUGGAGGAAUACCGGUGGCGAAGGCGGCCCCCUGGACGAAGACUGACGCUCAGGUGCGAAAGCGUGGGGAGCAAACAGGAUUAGAUACCCCGGUAGUCCCUGUCUCUUAUAC
rnacentral:rRNA from 1 species